GGGUGAGUAACACGUGGAUAACCUACCUAUAAGACUGGGAUAACUUCGGGAAACCGGAGCUAAUACCGGAUAAUAUAUUGAACCGCAUGGUUCAAUAGUGAAAGACGGUUUUGCUGUCACUUAUAGAUGGAUCCGCGCCGCAUUAGCUAGUUGAUAAGGUAACGGCUUACCAAGGCAACGAUGCGUAGCCGACCUGAGAGGGUGAUCGGCCACACUGGAACUGAGACACGGUCCAG
rnacentral:rRNA from 1 species